rnacentral:rRNA from 1 species
UACGUAGGGUCCGAGCGUUAUCCGGAAUUAUUGGGCGUAAAGUGCGCGUAGGCGUUUCUUCAAGUCGGUCGUUAAAUCUCACUGCCCAACAGUGAGACUGCGAGCGAUACUGAAGAAAUUGAGUGAUACAGGGGCAAGCAGAAUUCCCAGAGUAGGGGUGAAAUCCGUUGAUACUGGGAGGAAUACCAAUGGCGAAGGCAGCUUGCUGGGUACUCACUGACGCUGAGAGCGCGAAAGCGUGGGGAGCAAACGGG